UUUGUAUACCGUCCACGUCUAUACCACAUUAUAAAUGUACUUAUACGUUAUUAUCUGCUAAUAGCACUGUACGUAGUAAUAAGCAAUCAUACAUAUUUAUGUUUUCUAACAUUAAUCAUAACUCAUUAUAAAGCAUUUUAUUAUGACUUAUAAGGUCAAGAAACACAAUACAUAAUACACUUUGAUCCUUACAAAAAAAGUCAGUGAGUGACCAGCAAUUCUGAAGUAUUAUGAUACUUAAUGUGUUAUAAUGAUUGUAAUAAAGUAUUAUGUAUGUUAAUGUUUGCUUACAAUCAUGACUAUACAGUGCUAUAGCAGGGUAUAAUUCAUUCUAAGUAUGUUUUUAAUGCAUUAUAGACAUGGGCGUCAUAGUAAGUGUUACUAAAACGUCAAACCGCAACCAACUGGCAUAUCAGUACAAUAGUUGUCAGCCAGUCCACCCAGCUGGUACUGUUGAGCCUCAAUGUAAUGUCCAUCUGCUGUGCUGCUUUAGCUGUCAAAUAUCUAAAUUAAAGGCAGAUCUGAGUGAGAGGAUGAAGCUUCAUGACAUUUUGUACAUAAUACACGUCUUGGAGCAUCAUGUUGUUCAUCUCCCUAUUAAUUUUUUGUGUGUGUGUGUGUGUGUGUGUGUGUGUGUGUAGCCUUACUUGAAUUCAUUUGUCUGAUUGGACUUGAUAGGCUUCUCGCUCGUUGAAUCGCACAGAUGGUGUAGUUAAAGUAAGUUAAGGAAUGGCAAGUAAACUGCUUGAUUGUGUCACUAGGUAAUGAAUCAUUAAGCACAUUUAACAUCCAUGCCUUAUACAGCCCACUGCACCGCCACUUUGUGGUCGAAAUGAAUGUUUUUCUGCUUGCCUUUUUAAUUAGCCUUUUCCCCACCGCCGGCACUAUCACUCGUACAUACCCAGACAGUGAUGCUCCCUCGGAUCACUUGAGGUCUUACAGACUCUGAAUGUCUGAGGCAUGUUCUAUAGGAAGCCCUUUUUGUUGUGCUUUGUGUGCUGCUCCCUCAGCUCCUCCUGCUCUCUCAGUGCUUUAGCGACUCACUUUGGUAUUGUUUUAUAAUGACUUAAUAGUAAUGUAUUUGACUGAAUGAACCCGCGCAGUUUGGAUUGUGUCUUUAAGUCUUAAUUAUGGGUUUAUGUGUAGUGCCCUGGUGCUCUGCGGACUGGGUCAGUGGUGUUUCUGGUCUCUUGUUGCUUCUACAUAGGACAGAGGGGAGGGUUAUGAAUAACUGCUGUCUCAAAAACAAUUCAAAUUAAUUUAAUAAAGCAACUUUAUGAUUACAGAGAUUGUCAUGGCAACUGUUGGCAGUCUCUGUGUUUUACAUUUUCUUUAAAUGAACUAGGAGGUAUUGACACCGGUUUCUUCUUGUUCCCUCAUUUUCUUGCUUCCAGACCUGAUUUCAACGAGCAGGACUGAGCGUGGUUUAGAAUCUAAAGGAAAAAGAAUCCAUCCUUAAACAUUUCCAACAUUACUGACCAAUCUGUUAUUACUUACAGGACUGUAUUUAGUUGUAUUCAUUGUGUUGCCUGGUGAUGGGUUUUUUCUUACUCCAGGGGAUAACUAGCCAAACUUAGAUGGCAUGACUUCAUCGAGUCCAGAUAUUUCCAGUUCCACAUGUUCUCCGGCGUUAUUCUUGUAAAUGUACAGUAGGAAAUCACUCACUUAAAGGAAAAGUUCAGAAGUGGGGUUGUAUGAAGUAUUUAUACAUAGUCAGUGUAUUACUACAGUAGAUGACAGUGAGCGCGUCCAGUUUGGAGAAACAGACAGGAGUACCAGCACUGAAGCUAAGCAGUGCACUGCUGUGCACAGGGGCAGCAGCACAAAUUAUUUUAGCAACCUAAACAAAAUCAAUAUCGGUUAAAGUGUACACUAUAUUUAGAAUAUUUUCACCACUUUAUCUUGCAAUCAAUCGACACCUUGUGACGGGGAACUGAAGCCGUUAUCUAUGCUCUCUUCAAAGCCAUGAGACUCCUUUGACAAAAACAGUAGUUUUACCUCCCAGAACACGAGAGUUGCUGGUCUACCGCUGCCUCAAUCAGUUAGUUAGUUUGUGUUAUUGUGUGACUUUGGUGAUUUAAUGGGUUUGCACAAACAAACAGUUUGAGGCAGCGGGAGACUUACGUGUUUUUCUAGGUAAAAUGACUGUUUUUGUCAAUGGAGUUUGGUGGCAUUUAAGUGAGCAUAGAUGGAUAUUAAGGUUUCAGUUUCUCGUCAGAAAGGUCUGUCUGAUGGCAAGGUAAAGCCGUGAAAAUAUUGAAAUAUAGCGUACACUUUAAGGGAUAUUAAUUUUAUAGAUUGGUCUUUUUUUAGGUGGCUAAAAUACAUUUUGCUGUUGCCUCCGUCCACAGCAGUACAUUUUUAACUGCCGUGCUCGUUCUCUCUGUUUCUCCAACUAGGGGCGUGUCAACCGCCAUGUACUGUAGGUAAUACAUUGACUCUGGAUUAGUACCUCAUCAUAUAUCAUAUCAUAUAAUCCCACAUCAGAAAAUCCAAAAUGUCCCUUUAAGUGGAAGUUGAUGAAGCUCAUUUAAUGAAAAAUACACUAAAAUAACACAACGGGACACAAAAAAAGCUUUGAACAUCACAGACCGAUGACGAUGUGAGAAGAUUUAAGGGUGGAAAUUCCUUCUAAUUUAUAUUUCAGAAGCUACAUUUUGUUUCAAAUGAAUAGUAGCUUAAAUUAAACAGCUGUUUUUGUUUCACCCCCAUGAGAAUGUUGCACCUCUGUCCAGAGCAGCAGACCCUGUCCCUGUCCCAGCUCUCCAUGGCUCUGUAACAUGCUGGCACUCUGGCCACCAGGCACUAUAGUUCUGUAUCCUUGUUAUUUACUACUGAAUCCUCAACUCUGUACAGAAGAUGAGAAUAUGAUCGCAUGGAACCUUGUUACUGUAAUAAUAACCUAUACAGUAUAUAAUAUUUAAUUUUUUGAUAACUUUCAUCAAUGAAAUCUACUUACCAACACACAGACUUGCGAGAAUCCAUUUUUUUUUUGUGAGCACAUGGUAUCUAAGGAUCUCCUUUGUUUUGUUUUGUAGAAUAGAAAGGUUUUUCUUUAUUGUUCCCAUUUUGGUUUUUACACUUGCUGGGGUUUUGUGUCCUUUACUGUAGGGAAAAGAAUAUGACAUUUUCAUGUUUAAGAUAGACAAGAAUCAUGCUUUUCGCUAAUAAUGACGAUGACGCUGGUCAUUUCAGUGAUGGUUAUCCGGUGUGAGAAUGUUUAGGAGUUUGCAAAUGAACUGUGUCUGGUUUACACUGAGCGAUAAGCAGUGAUGAAUCCUGGGUUAUGAAGUUUUAUGACUGUACAUUGAAGGGCUUGGUGUGGAUGCAGGCUCUAGAGACCCCCGACAACUCCUCUAGCACGGUACUCUAAAGUCCAUCUGUAAAAGAAUAAUGACCAUUACCAACAGUGAAGGAGUGAUCCGGUUCAUAUGAAUAACAUUAACCAAACGUUCCUUUUUUUUUUUGUCUGCAUAGACGAGUAAAUCAGUCUCUAGAGCCUGAGUUCCACCUCUGAAAAAUGAAAAGGAUUCUCUGUAUUGCCUUGUUAAUAUUAAUUGUGGACACAUAAUUUUAUAAAUGAAAAGGACGUGGAAAUAAAGAUAAUUUAUCUUGUUAUUUAUUCAGAGAUUGUGUUCUUUUUUUUAUCUGCCAUUUUAAAAAUGUAUGCAGAGAUGAAACUGUUUUCUUUAACCUCAAUAACCGGGUAAGUCUAAAGUUAUUUUUUUCAAAUGUAUUUUUCCGUGCUUUACGGGCCCACAUGCAGCUUAUCUAUAGGCUACAGCUUUAUUUUCUCCAGUGAACAAAGAUCUAGCUCAAAAGGGGUUUUGAAAGUUACUUUUUUCUCCCUUAUUUUAAUGCAAUGUUAGAAACAAAAGGCCUAGUUUUGGGAUAUAGAAAGGAAUAGGAACAGACUGCACAAAAAAGUCAUCAAAUCAUAACUUCAGACCUGCAAACGUUAAGUGGUGAGAAUAACUGAGAAUAACAUCAAGAAAAAUAUUGUAAUAUAAUAUUCAUAACUAUUUUUCAUCUGUGUGUAAUCACCGAAAAGUAAGAAUCAUUGUGUUUUCGUUCAUACAAUGAACCCUUCAUCUCUACAUAGGGAGCGAGUCCGCUGCAUGGAGUCCGUGAUGUUGCACCGCCAUGUUUCUACAGUAGCUCAGAACGGACAAACCCAACUCUGGCUCUAAAUAGGGCCUUUCGCAUUGUUACCUUACCUGAAGGCCACCGUAGUUCUCCGACUAGUGAAACUGCACUAACACCAGCCGCCGCCUGAACUCUGUUGCUCUUAAAGUAACUUCACGGAUGGCCUCCAGGGCGUCACCACGGUUUUAAAUUUGGCGGAAGGUUACCUCAGUCUUGUAAAAGGAGGGGGGAAUAACAUUCAAGAGUGGAAUAGCUUCAGGGAAUGUACUUGUUUUAAAUCCGCAGAUUUAAAAUGGAGUAUAAUUCAUCUGAUGUUGUUAACAACCCAAUCACACCAUGGAUGGAGAAACAACUGUAACAGUGUGUGCAGUGAGCUUUUUGAACCAGCAGGAGGCGAUGUUGCACCACCUUGCCUGUAUGUAUAAAGUUGUGAGUUCAUGUCAGGAUGUUUUAUAUGCACCUUCCUUCUCAAGUUGAAGUAGGAACUAGUUUUGUUGUUUAAUGAAGACCAACUCAAAGAGUCUGUGCUGUUGUCUUGAAUAAGGUGAACAUCUUUAACUAGAUAUCACCAUGAAACCUCCCCAGAUGAUUACUUACAUUAAGACACUUGUAUUACACGUUUUCUGAAAUGUCAUGUUUAAAUAUGCAAAUGCAGCAUUAUUGUUUAAAAUAUGUGCUGAUUUGCAUACAUUUCCAGAACGUAAAUCGGAGCACUGGAUAAAGCCAGGUUAAAAAUGAUGUUUUGUUUUGUUGACAUGUUAGAGUAAACUAUUACUAUGUUUAUCUCUUUGUAUGACUAUCAAUCUGAAAAUACUGUAAGCAACCAUUAAAAAAAAAUCUAUUUUCAUC
rnacentral:lncRNA from 1 species